rnacentral:rRNA from 1 species
CUACGGGACGCUGCAGUGAGGAAUUUUGCGCAAUGGGGGAAACCCUGACGCAGCAACGCCGCGUGAGCGAAGAAGGCCUUCGGGUCGUAAAGCUCUGUCAAGUGGGAAAAAAAUUCUUUGAUGAACAGUCAAAGGACUUGAUGGUACCACUGGAGGAAGCACCGGCUAACUCCGUGCCAGCAGCCGAGGUAAUACGGAGGGUGCAAGCGUUGUUCGGAAUUACUGGGCGUAAAGAGCGUGUAGGCGGUUUGACAAGUCAGAUGUGAAAGCCCCGGGCUCAACCCGGGAAGUGCAUUUGAAACUGUUUCACUAGAGUAUGGGAGAGGAGAUUGGAAUUCCUGGUGUAGAGGUGAAAUUCGUAGAUAUCAGGAGGAACACCCGUGGCGAAGGCGAUUCUCUGGACCAAUACUGACGCUGAGACGCGAAAGCGUGGGGAGCAAACAGGAUUAGAUACCCCAGUAGUC